CCCAAGUCAAUCCUUUUAACGGCGUAAUUCACCGUGAAAUUCUGAAACACCGGCGCCGCGUGCGUGAAACUGAACCCACAGUCAACCACAAGACUACACUGCGUCUCCGACAACAGCCCGUACGGUCGCCGGCUGGCCUCGUAGAGGUGAACUAACGACGGCGGGUCGGCAACGAAGAGCGACUUGAAGUUGAAGUCCUCGAAGACGAGCUCGUCGGUGGCGCGUUGGAUAGAGGGAAGCGCGAAGAGGGGUUCGGUGAGUAGGAGAGAGGAGGCGGAGGGGCUGAUGUGGAGGAGAGAGGAGAAGAGGUGGGCCCAGAUGUCGCGCUGGAGGUCGCUAUUUAUAAGGUAACCGCGGUCAAUGGGGCGGCGGACGGCGGCAGAGGUCAGGUCUUCGGUGGCGGAGGCGGCGGUGGGAGAUGGGUGGAUGAAUUUUUUGGAGGAGAGUGGACGGUACAUGCAGUUGGGUAUUGUGACGGCGGGGUCACGCUCGCCGCCAUGACCCGCUUUUAUGAGGCCGCCACCAUUGUCUAGAACGACGAUAUUUGACAUCUCCGAGGAUGAGAUGUGGGUGCUGGAAUUGUUACAUUUGAGUGAAGUGGUUGACGAGCAGGUGCUGGGGUUUUAAGGGUUUAUUGGAGAAUUCUUUUUCUAACUUUCGGUUAUCAGUGAAUAUUUAGAAAUAUGAGAAUUUAUUAAUCAUCUGCCCAGAGUUAUGCCAAUUAUUAGAAAUACACCCUUUCAAAAAAAAAAUAUUAUUAAAAAUACACAAAUAUUUAAGUUUUUCACCAUAAAUUUGUAUCAAUUUUAACGAAUAUUUAUAACAUGUUGUUUAUAUCUACUCCGGAGUAAAUAUUUAACCACGCGCGGUUAAUCGUAUCAUCAUACAAAUGAUAAUGUCCGAAAACUUUAUGGAAUCUAUACAAUAUGUUGUUUUUUAUGACACUUACUAUUAUAAACACUGAUUAAAUUAUUUUAAAGAAAUUAAUCUAAGAUUAUUUAUUUAUUAUUGUAAGUAUUAAUAAAUUAAUAUAAUAAAUGAAUAUGUUUUCAUCAUAUUUUUAUUAGGAUCCAAUUUGAACAAAUUGAUUGCUCUCACCAAAUCUAUCUUUAAUCAAUUAAAAUAAGUAGAUUUAUAUUGGGGAAAAGAUAGGGUUAAUAAGGAUUUAAAUGUGCUUUUCUUAUGUUUGAAGGCAAGUGGCGUAGUUGAGGUGCACUAGGCGGUGGGUAAUAACAUGAAGAACUCAAUGAGCUUGGGAGAUAGCUCAGAUGAACUCAAAUAUGAGAUAAGACAUAAGCAUCAACGUCAUCACAAUAAACUGAAAAUAAACACACACACACACACACAAAAUUGAAAUUUGUGUGAUUCACCCCUUCAUCUUAUAUCCACGAGAGUAAUUCAUCUCUAAUCUACUAUGUAUUUAAAGUAUUAAAUGAUUUUCAUUACAAUAUGAACAAAAUCUCAUUAAAUGUCGUUUAUGGUGUUUAACAACAUAUAGGAGAACAAGAAUAAGAACAUGUGGUAAACAAGAUCUUUUAUAGAACUAUAAAAUAAAGGAAGAAACCUUAAAAUUGAAGGGAAAAUAGAAUGAAGUAGCCUUAUACCCAUUAUAUGCAUCAUAAUCAUCUACAGAUUUCACUUAAAUAAACACGUAACGGCAAGAUAGAGUUAUUCUGCCAAUACCCAUCUUAAUUUUGUUGCUAUAACAAGACCGGGUAAACAAAAACAGAGGAAACUACAAUCACCUCUUUGUUGCCCUCCAAGUUAAUCACUCAGCUGAACACUUUAUUUUUCGAAGGGGUAAAUAAACAACAAUAAUUUAUUUUUAUUUUUUAAAAAAAAGAACCUGGCAAUUUGAAGAUCACGCGCGACAUCGAGGGAGACAAAGCACAACUUCUCCUUAACAUCAUCGAUAAUGAAAGUCUCAUCCAUAACGUUAAUAGCGCGAUACGAUACCAGCUCCUUCAAGUAAUUAGUCAACGCCUUACCGCCCAAGUCAAUCCUUUUAACGGCGUAAUUCACCGUGAAAUUCUGAAACACCGGCGCCGCGUGCGUGAAACUGAACCCACAGUCAACCACAAGACUACACUGCGUCUCCGACAACAGCCCGUACGGUCGCCGGCUGGCCUCGUAGAGGUGAACUAACGACGGCGGGUCGGCAACGAAGAGCGACUUGAAGUUGAAGUCCUCGAAGACGAGCUCGUCGGUGGCGCGUUGGAUAGAGGGAAGCGCGAAGAGGGGUUCGGUGAGUAGGAGAGAGGAGGCGGAGGGGCUGAUGUGGAGGAGAGAGGAGAAGAGGUGGGCCCAGAUGUCGCGCUGGAGGUCGCUAUUUAUAAGGUAACCGCGGUCAAUGGGGCGGCGGACGGCGGCAGAGGUCAGGUCUUCGGUGGCGGAGGCGGCGGUGGGAGAUGGGUGGAUGAAUUUUUUGGAGGAGAGUGGACGGUACAUGCAGUUGGGUAUUGUGACGGCGGGGUCACGCUCGCCGCCAUGACCCGCUUUUAUGAGGCCGCCACCAUUGUCUAGAACGACGAUAUUUGACAUCUCCGAGGAUGAGAUGUGGGUGCUGGAAUU
rnacentral:lncRNA from 1 species